UACGGAGGGGGCUAGCGUUGUUCGGAAUUACUGGGCGUAAAGCGUACGUAGGCGGCUUUGUAAGUUAGAGGUGAAAGCCCGGGGCUCAACUCCGGAAUUGGCCUUUAAGACUGCAUCGCUUGAAUCAUGGAGAGGUGAGUGGAAUUCCGAGUGUAGAGGUGAAAUUCGUAGAUAUUCGGAAGAACACCAGUGGCGAAGGCGACUCACUGGACAUGUAUUGACGCUGAGGUACGAAAGCGUGGGGAGCAAACAGG
rnacentral:rRNA from 1 species